GAUGAAGAACGUAGCGAAAUGCGAUAAGUAGUGUGAAUUGCAGAAUUCAGUGAAUCAUCGAAUCUUUGAACGCACAUUGCGCCCCUUGGUAUUCCAUGGGGCAUGCCUGUUCGAGCGUCAUUUGUACCUUCAAGCUCUGCUUGGUGUUGGGUGUUUGUCUCGCCUCUGCGUGUAGACUCGCCUCAAAACAAUUGGCAGCCGGCGUAUUGAUUUCGGAGCGCAGUACAUCUCGCGCUAUGCACUCAUAACGACGACGUCCAAAAGUACAUUUUUACACUCUUGACCUCGGAUCAGGUAGGGAUACCCGCUGAACUUAAGCAUAUCAAUAAGCGGAGGA
rnacentral:misc_RNA from 1 species